ACCCGCACAAGCGGUGGAUGAUGUGGAUUAAUUCGAUGCAACGCGAAAACCUUACCUACCCUUGACAUGUCCGGAAUCCUGCAGAGAUGCGGGAGUGCCCGAAAGGGAAUCGGAACACAGGUGCUGCAUGGCUGUCGUCAGCUCGUGUCGUGAGAUGUUGGGUUAAGUCCCGCAACGAGCGCAACCCUUAUCAUUAGUUGCUACGCAAGGGCACUCUAAUGAGACUGCCGGUGACAAACCGGAGGAAGGUGGGGAUGACGUCAAGUCCUCAUGGCCCUUAUGGGUAGGGCUUCACACGUCAUACAAUGGUCGGUACAGAGGGUUGCCAAGCCGCGAGGUGGAGCCAAUCCCAGAAAGCCGAUCGUAGUCCGGAUUGUUCUCUGCAACUCGAGAGCAUGAAGUCGGAAUCGCUAGUAAUCGCGGACCAGCAUGUCGCGGUGAAUACGUUCCCGGGUCUU
rnacentral:rRNA from 1 species